rnacentral:rRNA from 1 species
GACAGAGGGUGCAAACGUUGCUCGGAAUCACUGGGCGUAAAGGGCGUGUAGGCGGGACGGUAAGUCGGGGCGUGAAAUCCCACGGCUCAACCGUGGAAGUGCACUCGAAACUGGAUGGCUAGAGUCCUGGAGAGGAAGGUGGAAUGCUUGGUGUAGAGGUGAAAUUCGUAGAUAUCAAGCGGAACACCGGUGGCGAAGGCGGCCUUCUGGACAGUGACUGACGCUGAGACGCGAAAGCGUGGGGAGCAACAGG